GUAUUACCUUGCACAGAUCGGUCUGGCCAUGUCACCUCUAAGCAAUAACUCCUUAUUUCUAGAUUAUCAUCGGAAUCCUUUUCCAAUGUUUUUCCUACGGGGCCUCAAUGUUUCUCUCUGAACGGAUGAUCCUUUACAAAUCCACUUGACUAAAGAACCUCUUGUUGAAGAAUAUAGUAUAGCAGCUUCAGUUUGGAAGCUAAGCUCAUGUGAUCUUUGUGAAAUUGCCCGGAAUUCAGUUUUACAGUCAGGAUUUUCACAUGCUCUCAAGUCUCAUUGGAUCGGAAAGAUGUAUUACAAGAGAGGUCCAGAUGGGAAUGAUAUUCAUAAGACAAAUGUGCCUCAUAUCCGAAUUGAAUUCCGUGACACAAUAUGGAGAGAAGAGAUGCAGCAAGUUUUUUUGGGCAAAGCUAAUAUCCCUGAAGAAGUGGACAUGUGAGGUGCAAGGUGCAUGAUGUACUUAUCUAUUCUUGAUUAUCAGCAAUCUGUUCCAUGAAGGCAAAAGACCCACAAUUUCAUCUAACAUUUGAAAUUGCAGCUCUGUGGGGAUCUUUUACCCAAGAGUUUCGAGCUGAAAAUUUGGUUCACACAGGCAAAAGGGAAAGCCAAGAGGUGUGAAGUGGUUGAAGCAUACCCAAUAAUUGUAAGAUAAAGAGGUCUCUUGUACACAAAAGAGACAGUUGAUGAGUUAUCAUUACAUAUACUGGGAGAAGAAUGUUCUCGCAGCCAGUGUAGUUUGACCCUUUUAAUCUGAAGGGUGUAUUUACGAAAUAUAAUUGCCUCCAUUGAAUUUUCUAGUGAAGCUCGUCUUCAAAAACCGUAGUAAUUAAUAUGUGCUCUCUACAUGGUGGCUGA